GCUCUCCUCACAGCAGAAAUCCUCCUUAUGCCAUCUGCCUACAGAUAGAAAUCUUAAAAGAUUUUAGUAAGAGAAAUCGUGUAAGUUUUGCUGAUGUUUGCCGCUUAAGAGACAAUAUGGUCAUUUCUUCUCUGUGUCAUCAGUAUAAAAUGGCAUUGCCAGGACACUUUGCUUAGCUCUGUGGGAUUCCCUCUUCCUCACUUCCUCCCCAAAUGUGAAACAACUCCAGGACUUAACAUUUUUUUAUGACUGCUUCUUUAAACACAGCAAAACACUUGCUUAGUGAGUUCUUUUUUCCUAGUUUGACUGCAAAAGCCUAUGUCAGAAGUCAAACAUUUUACAGAUCUUCCAAAGUUCAGAGGUUAGUUGAAAUGCUUAUUGGCUCUAGCAGUGUUUGAUACCAAGAGAGGUGCACUGCGUGUGUAUCUUCAGAGGAAAAAGUUCCUGGAGACUCAAGGAACAGAAGAUUGUAGGAAAUCGUCUGAGAGCUGGAAGAAAAAUGAACAUUUCUGGAACAUGAUGGUUUGACUUAGCUGAGGUGAGACCUUUCAGCUGUGCCACAGCCUUCCUACAUAGUUCCUCUUUGUUUCAGUUCUCUAUUUGUAAAACAGGAAUGAUUUGACUCCACUCAUGCCAUAAAAUUAAUAACGUAAUUAGGGUUAGGUAUCUGAAUACCAAAACCAAUCUGGGACAUGAAGCCCUGUACAGAAUCUGAGACAAGAAAUGGAGUUACUAACAUGAGAGUGUCAGUAACAUUCCUGGCAAUGAAAGGGUAAAACUAAGGCUCAUCAGGAAGCAAAAGGAAGGACAAGUACAUCUUGCAUUGGCCUGGAGCAGGCAACUGGUGAAGCAAUAAGAGGAAGUGUUUCCCACCAUACUCUGAGAAGAACCUAGAAAAAGCUAAUAAGAAAGUCAAAGAAUUUCCAAAUCAUUUUUUCCUGGGUCCAUGGUUUGUGUAUACAAUUAAUUGCACUUUCAGUCAGCCUUCAGUCUACAAGCACCUGUUUCUGCUCAAAAGGAGGCGUCAAGGCACCUGAUGUGGCAGACAGCUGAGGCUGCAAGGAAGGAGACACUGAAACGUUCCAGUACUAUUCAUACUCUUAAAAUGCUAAUAAAUCCCAACAGCAGCUUUAAUGCUGCUUUGUUUUAAAUAAGAGAUCACAAGCGUGACAAGACACUAAACUCUGCAACUACAAAAUUUUUAUGCAAGAGCCAACUGCACCUCAUUUUGUCCAAAUGAUUCUCUUAAAGUCCAAGGGAGAAACAGGCAUUUUAUCAUUGCUACAUAUAAAGUGAAUGUUUAGCCUCCGAUCAUUGCUGGAAUAAGUGGAAAGUGUUCUUUCCUGUAGCCAGAGAAGCCAAUGCCAUCUCAUCUGUUCUUAUGCACAGCAACAACUGGAUAACUUGUGCAUCAAGUCCCCAAGCUUGUUUAAAUAAAGUACAUCAUAACCAGCUCAGAGAUAUGGGCUAAAAAGGUGAAGAUGCAGCUACGCAGAUUCUUUGCUUCCAUACAGAAUGAAGUCAAUAGCACAGCUGACUGCUUAUUCAAGAGCAUGUGCACAUCCAGCUCUCUGUCUUGUAUGGCAACCUAUGCAUGGACACUCUCCAAUGAGAUAGUCCUAGACCUCGUUAAAAACAAGGCUUGUUUUUUUAGUGAACCUAGGAAUAAAAACUUUAAACAUGAAUUAUUGGCUUGCUGCUUCUUAUUUCAAAGGUAUGCUGCAGCAAACGUGGGGAAAGGGCUGAGUAAAACUAGGCAGGCAAAUCAAAUCAACUAUAUACACAAAAGGCUGACACUGCAAAUUAAUUACCUGGAUGUUUAGUCAAAAGCCUUACAAGCACUUUGGAGGAAUUUCAGGUGAGUGAACACUGAAGUGCAUGUGUUUUAUGACAGACCUAAUUAUUUAUAUAGCAUUCAGGAUACUUCUUAUGCUGCUUUUGUAGAAGAAACCUUUUAUUUACAUAUAAACAAGCCCCUCUUCAGAGUAUUAAACUAGUUGGGAAAAAAAUUAUACUAAUGUCCUCAAUAGCAGUGACACCAGCGAAGUUGGAUGCCAUCAUGACCUAACAUCAUCAUUUUAUUUCCAGUACAAAACUCCCUUUGUAGAAGGUUUUCUUCAUAUUCUUACCCCAAAGAUGACUGACACAAGAAAGCUUCUACCCCCUGUCUCCAGGAGCACAAUACUCACCCUGUUACACACCAAUAUGAGAAGGCUGCUGCAGCAAGAGACAAAUUGUGAUUUGCCUUAAAAGAGAUACUGUAAGGAUGGACUGCAGUAAAACUUCAUCCUCUACAGGGGAAUAAACAAAAGCAUGACAAAGCAAACAAAAUACAACAAAGAAGUGCAGAUAUUAUCAAUUUAAUCCUUCACCAUGCUGAAUCCUAUGAUUCUGGCUGAGGACACAUUGAAACAGUAGAAAGAUGAUGAUUAUAUUUUGAUUGAUAUUUAAGGAAUCAAUAGAUAGUUAAUCCAAACUUUACCAAGCAGUUUUCAACCAAACGGCAUUAAGUACACUUCUCAGAGUCUCAUCAUAUAUACAGAAGCCUAUACAGGUCUGAUCCUACCAAGAAAAAUGCCCUUCAUGCUUUGUAGGCAUCUCCCUUCAGCUCAACUUGUCAGGCAU